rnacentral:rRNA from 1 species
AGAGUUUGAUCAUGGCUCAGAAUCAACGCUGGCGGCGUGCCUAACACAUGCAAGUCGAGCGAGAAAGGGGGGCAACCCCUGAGUAAAGCGGCGCACGGGUGAGUAACACGUGGGUCAUCUGCCCUGGAGUGGGGAAUAACACCGGGAAACCGGUGCUAAUACCGCAUACGAUCCGCAAGGAUGAAAGGAGCAAUUCGCUC